rnacentral:rRNA from 1 species
AUUGAACGCUAGCGGGAUGCUUUACACAUGCAAGUCGAACGAGUGGCGGACGUGUGAGUAAUAUAUCGGAACGUUACCAGUAGCGGGGGACAACUACUCGACCGUGUGGCUAAUACCGCCUACUAUUGGCGCGGCCGAUAUCGGAUUAGCUAGUUGGUGGGGUAAAGGCAGACCAAGGCAACGAUCCGUAGCUGGUUUGAGAGGACGACCAGACACACUGGGACUGAGACACGGCCCAGACUCCUACGGGAGGCAGCAGGGGGGAAUGUGGGACAAUGGGGGAAACCCUGAUCCAGCCAUGCCGCGUGUAUGAGAAGGCCUUCGGGUUGUAAAGUACUUUUGGCAGAGAAGCGGUAUCUGCAGAAUAAGCACCGGCUAACUACGUGCCAGCAGCCGCGGUAAUAC